rnacentral:lncRNA from 1 species
GCAGCCAUUGGUUCUCUGGAACUAUAAAGCACACUCAUCCAGAAACAGCCUCAGAUUUUACUUUCCUGGAGGCAGACAGAAGUGAAUGCUUACUUACUCCCAGAUGCGGCCUGGGUAUGAAGUAGGCCUUUCCUGAGUGGCUCCCAAUCCAGUCCUCCAAGUACUCAGAGGGGAAGCCCGUGAAGCCGUCAUCUAAGUCCUGCUCCCUCACAUGAAGCUGAGGGCCAGAUAGAUGGAGCGACUGCCAACUUCAUUUCCCGACAUCAUUGUGUUCAGAAGAGAGUGAUGGGUUUUGAGUUAGACAGUCCUGGGCUUGAGACAGGCUUUGUCACUACUGUGUGAGUGUAGCCACCUAAUCUCUCUGAGACUGUGUAAAACAAAGAUGAUAAAAUCUCACCCUGUUGUGAGAUAUUAAAUGAGCCAAAGUGCCUAGCAUGAUGGUGCUGGCUCAUAUAGUGUAGUCCCUGGAAUGGCAAAUUAACAUCACCCAGGAACUUGUUAGAAAGGCAAAUUCUUGGACACAACCCUCCUGAUUUAUGGAAUCAGAAACUCUGGCUGUGGGGCCCAGCAACCUGAGUUUAAACAAUUUCUCUGGGUGGUUCUGCGGCACACUAAGGUUUGAAAAUCACUGCAACAAAUGCUAACUUCUAAUCCCCUUGAUGAGCUUUCACGAAGUCUCACGGCUUCUCUAGGGACUCCAUGGUCUUCAGAGUCGUUCACAGAUGACCAAGGACAGACUGUGUCCCAGAAGCCAAAAUGAGAGAGAGAGAGAGAGAGCACGCGUACGUGCACCCUGGGGCAGUGUCUCACCGUAUGAACAAGGGAUGUAACACUAAAAGCCCAUUAGGGGGCAGUGUUUCCCGCCUGUUGUAGAAACUGGUACAGAAAGGAAUAUGAAGUUCCUGAAACUGACCUUUGUCUAUUAUUACCUUCUCUGAAAAGUGCCAGUCCAUGUAUUUUUUAUUUAUUUUAAGUUUGUAAUUUAAUUUUUAAUUAUUGUUUAGUGUUUGCAUUUAAUUUUAUUUAAUCACCACAUUUAGAAAAUAAUAAGAGCAAGUUUCUAAAUGGGAGACUGCUGAGGCUCUUUGCAAGAGAUGAGAUUAAGUUUGAGUUUCUAAGGCAGGGCAUGAGCUGGAAAUAGCAUUGCUUUCCUUGAUUGUCUCUCUCCUUCAGGGAGAUUCUUUUUCUCUAGUGUUUUAAGUGAUCCUUUGAAGUAAGUGUGGAGAGUCUUGAAUGGCAAGACCAGGAGCUGAGUUUAAGCUUGUAAUGGAAGCUUGCAUUGUGGGAUAUAUAACUGAGGAAGCAUAUUUAUCCUGAAGGUAUUUUGCCAGAAGGUAUCACUUGACCUGGAAAAGGAAUCUAUUUAGUUCAGGAAAGAUAAAAAGUUUAGAGGUAUGUGAAGGAAGCACUUAGAACUUGCAAGCCUGAUGUCCUAUCAAGUUAUGUCUUCUGGGUGACAGACAAAAUCGCUUGUCUUAUGGUGGUGAUGUGUUGCAUUUUCACUUUGGGGUCUGUAAGAAACUGUCAGUGAAAAUAUGUACAAUUCCUUCAAUUUCCAUUCUUAACAACUGUAAUGUUGAAAAAUAAGUUGAAAAGUCUUUGGGACCAUACAUGCAAAAACGGUGCCUCUGUUACUUAAUUAUUUAAUAUUCUAUAAAUGUACCCAAUCUGUCCGCACCCUUCCCAGUGAUGGGGCAGUAUGUCUGAGGAAGUAUAAUUUCAGUACUGGGGUCGGGGAGAGGAGGUGAUGUUUCUACAUUUUUAUUUUUUCUAUAAAUUGCAAUUGGUCUGUAUGCUGGUUUAUUUUGAAAUUUAUAUUGGUUUCUUUUCAAGCUGGUGUCAUCUCCUAGACUGUUUCACCCAGAUGCUAGCAUUUUUUUUUUUUUUUUGAGACAGAGUCUCACUCUGUCACCUAGGCUGGAGUUGCAGUGGUUUGAUCUCGGCUCACUGCAACCUCCGACUCCUGGGUUCAAGCAAUUCUUCUGCCUCAGCCUCCUGAGUAGCUGGGAUUACAGAUGUGCACCAGCACACCCGGCUAAUUUUUUGUAUUUUUAGUAGAGACAGGGUUUCGCCAUGUUGGCCAGGCUGGUCUUGAACUCCUGGCCUUAUGUGAUCCGCCCACCUUGGCUUCCCAAAGUGCUGGGAUUACAGGCAUGAGCCACCUCGCCUGGCCAGAUGCUAGCAUUUUAGAUCAAACAAUUCAUUUUAGAUGAAUUGUUUUGUUUCACAAUCAUUUUAAAUCAUUUUAGAAUGUACUUCACAUUAUUAGUUGUGUUAUGGCAUAAAGGUACAACCAUUCCCUAACUCCAUCUUUUAUUAAUGCUUAAGUUUAAAUUAUAUUCUUCCAAUGCCUAAGCUAUUCCCUAGAAUUAAACUGGGCACUUUUGGAAGCAGCAACAGUAACAGCAGCAGCAAACUUUUCCUCUCAUAUUUUGGGUGUAUCAAAAGUUCUAGACUUUUGAAGUUAUGAUUUCAGUGGCCCACUUUAUUUCUAAGGAAGAGUGUCUACUUUGGAACGAUACUUUGCACAUAGUAGGAACUCAAGAAAUACAUUUGAAUAAUUAUAAUUAACUGUUUAGCUAUCUUAAUGAGAAUUUGUUGACAACAAAAGAUCAUCCAUCGCCUUAUGUGUGAGUAAGAUUGGAGCCUCUAUCAAGAUUUAGUCAAGUUCAGUUAGAUUGAUUCUAGAAACAAAUAUUUAUUUCUUUCUUUUACGGGGAUGUGAAUAAGGCUUUUCCUUAAGGCCUUCAUUCUUUAAACAAACAGGUUGAAAUGGUAUGUUGUAAAAGAGAAGACGGGAGAGAGGUAUUUAGAUGAUAAGUGUACUUCACAAAAAUGCCAAAGUUUGAAAAAUAGGUAUGUUUGUUCUAAAUGUUUAAGUGCUUCUCUGUUAGGUUCUGGGGCUUGCAAUCAUUUGAAUUGUUCUGUUUCACAAUAAAGGAGAUUCACUGGGUUCUGCAUUUUCAGGAUUCAAUAGAACUGCUCCAUUAAAAAAAUAAUCCUUAGCAAGCAUUCGAAUCCUAACUGCUUUGAUGCACUUGCCCUCGGGCACCUGUCAUUUCCAAUAUGGUAGGUGUCAAAGUCAAAAGUAUUUACUGGGAGAAAAAAGAGAGGAGUGGUUGUAGAAGUCUCCCUAAAUCAGACAUGUCAAGCAAUCAGCCAACGUGGUGUAUUUCUCAUUCAAUAUUUUAGUGUGAAUUGAGACACUGAGAUAAAGACAUCGUGCAGAGAUAAAUGGGGAUACAGUUAAAUGUAGCAACUCUUGAGUUCAUUUUUUCCCACUGUAGCAAAAUUAAUGCUUUCUCUUUAUUGAAAUAAAUUGCUCAUUCCUCAAAUUUUUUUAUCUUUCUGUAAUUAAUUUCCUAGUUCUAUGUUUCCUUGUGUAUGAAUUAGUAACUUUGAAAAAGGGCAGAUGUUUAAUCAUUUUCACUUAGAAUAUUCAGAUCAAACUAUAUGAAUCAUUUUUUUUUAAUAAUCAAUGCAUACACAGGAAUUCCCUUUUGCCUAGAAAUCAGACUUCCA